UGGGGAAUAUUGCACAAUGGAGGGAACUCUGAUGCAGCGACGCCGCGUGAACGAAGAAGGCUUUCGAGUCGUAAAGUUCUUUUAUAUGGGAAGAUAAUGACGGUACCAUAAGAAAAAGCCCCGGCUAACUACGUGCCAGCAGCCGCGGUAAUACGUAGGGGGCUAGCGUUGUCCGGAAUCACUGGGCGUAAAGGGUUCGCAGGCGGAAAUGCAAGUCAGGUGUAAAAGGCAGUAGCUUAACUACUGUAAGCAUUUGAAACUGCAUAUCUUAGGAAGAGUAGAGGUAAGUGGAAUUUUUAGUGUAGCGGUGAAAUGCGUAGAUAUUAAAAAGAAUACCGGUGGCGAAGGCGACUUACUGGGCUCAUUCUGACGCUGAGGAACGAAAGCGUGGGUAGCAAACAGG
rnacentral:rRNA from 1 species